ACGACGCUGGCGGCGUGCCUAACACAUGCAAGUCAACUUGACUGAAGGAGCAAUCUGACAGUAGAGUGGCGCAAGGUGCGUAACGCGUAAGUAACUUGCCCAAGGUAAGGAAUAACGUCGAGAAAUCGGCGCUAAUACCUCAUAAUGCAGCGGAUCCGCAUGGAUAUGUUGUUAAAGGUUUACCGCCUUGGGAUAGGCUUGCGUCUGAUUAGCUAGUUGGUGUGGUAACGGCACACCAAGGCUACGAUCAGUAACUGGUCUGAGAGGAUGAUCAGUCACACUGGAACUGAGACACGGUCCAGACUCCUACGGGAGGCAGCAGUGAGGAAUAUUGGGCAAUGCUCGAAAGAGUGACCCAGCAACGCCGCGUGGAGGAUGAAGGUAUUCUAUAUCGUAAACUCCUGUGAGAGCAGACGAAAGACAGAUUAUUAAUCUGGAUGACUGUAUGCUCAGAGGAAGCCCCGGCUAACUACGUG
rnacentral:rRNA from 1 species